AACGAACGCUGGCGGCAUGCCUAACACAUGCAAGUCGAACGGGAUCCUAGCUUGCUAGGUGAGAGUGGCGGACGGGUGAGUAACACGUGGGAAUCUGCCUUUUGGUUCGGGAUAACCGCGGGAAACUGCGGCUAAUACCGAAUGCCCUCGAGAGAGGAAAGAUUUAUCGCCAGAAGAGGAGCCCGCGUCCGAUUAGGUAGUUGGUGGGGUAAAGGCCUACCAAGCCGACGAUCGGUAGCUGGUCUGAGAGGAUGAUCAGCCACACUGGGACUGAGAUACGGCCCAGACUCCUACGGGAGGCAGCAGUGGGGAAUAUUGGACAAUGGGGGCAACCCCUGAUCCAGCAAUGCCGCGUGAGUGAUGAAGGCCUUAGGGUUGUAAAGCUCUUUUGCCAGGGAAGAUGAUGACUGUACCUGGAGAAUAAGCCCCGGCUAACUUCGUGCCAGCAGCCACGGUAA
rnacentral:rRNA from 1 species